rnacentral:rRNA from 1 species
UGAAAGUACCCUGAGUCGUCAGACAAAGGGAUAGCAUCCAAGUAUGUUUCCAAGAAAAACUUCUAAGCUUCAGGUGAGUAUUACCCGUACCGCAAACCGACACAGGUAGACAAGUAGAAUAUACUAAGGCGCUCGAGUGAUCCGUGGCUAAGGAACUAGGCAAAUUAACCCUGUAACUUCGGGAUAAAGGGUGCUCACAGCAAUGUGAGCCGCAGAGAAAUGGCGGUGGCGACUGUUUAACAAAAACACAGGGCUUUGCAAAAACGAAAGUUGAAGUAUAAGGCCUGACACCUGCCCGGUGCUGGAAGGUUAAGAGGAGAGGUUAGGAGCAAUCCAAAGCUUUGAAUCGAAGCCCCAGUAAACGGCGGCCGUAACGAUAACGGUCCUAAGGUAGCGAAAUUCCUUGUCGGGUAAGUUCCGACCUGCACGAAUGGUGUAACGAUCUCCGCUCUGUCUCAGCCACGAGCUCGGUGAAAUUGUGGUAUCAGUGAAGACGCUGAUUACCCGCAACGGGACGGAAAGACCCCAUGCACCUUUACUAUAGCUUAACAUUGAGUUCGGGUAAGUGAUGUGUAGAAUAGGUAGGAGGCUUUGAAGUGGUGGCGCUAGCCAUCAUGGAGCCGAAAUGUGAAAUACUACCCUUUACUUACUAGAAUUCUAACUCUGCAAAGAGGACAUUGUUUGGUGGGUAGUUUGACUGGGGUGGUCGCCUCCGAAAGGGUAUCGGAGGCUUUCAAAGGUUCGCUCAGUACGCUUGGUAACCGUACGUAGAGUGCAAUAGCAUAAGCGAGCUUGACUGUGAGGCCGACAAGCCAAGCAGGUACGAAAGUAGGAUAUAGUGAUCCGGUGGUUCCGCAUGGAAGGGCCAUCGCUCAUAGGAUAAAAGGCACGCUGGGAUAACAGGCUGAUCCCUCCCAAGAGCUCAUAUCGACGGGGGGGUUUGGCACCUCGAUGUCGGCUCGUCACAUCCUGGGGCUGGAGAAGGUCCCAAGGGUUCGGCUGUUCGCCGAUUAAAGUGGCACGCGAGCUGGGUUCAGAACGUCGUGAGACAGUUCGGUCCCUAUCUGUUGUGGGCGUUAGAAAAUUGAGGGGCCCUGACUCUAGUACGAGAGGACCGAGUCGGACAAACCGCUAGUGUACCUGUUGUGGCGCCAGCUGCACCGCAGGGUAGCUAUGUUUGGAUGAGAUAAGCGCUGAAAGCAUCUAAGUGCGAAACUCACCUCAAGAUAAGUUUUUCUUUAUAAGGAUCGUGGUAGACUACCACGUUGAUAGGCUACAGAUGUAAAGGCAGUAAUGUCAAAGUCGAGUAGUACUAAUUGUUC